UACGUAGGUGGCGAGCGUUGUCCGGAAUCAUUGGGCGUAAAGAGCGCGUAGGUGGCUUGUCAGGUCUGAUGUGAAAUCCUGGGGCUCAACUCCAGAACUGCAUCGGAAACCGGCUUGCUAGAGUCUGGGAGAGGAGAGUGGAAUUCCUGGUGUAGCGGUGAAAUGCGUAGAUAUCAGGAGGAACACCGGUAGCGAAGGCGGCUCUCUGGAACAGUACUGACGCUGAGGCGCGAAAGCUAGGGGAG
rnacentral:rRNA from 1 species